rnacentral:lncRNA from 1 species
GCAGAUCGCGGAAGGUUUGAUGUGAAUCCGGAUGGCUGAAAUGGCAGGAUCGGGAGCUGAUGCACGCUGGAUCGCUGGAGGAGACGGAUCCAUGGAUGGAUGUGGAAGAGCCUGGCUGGAUCGACUGAUUUGGAAGGAAGCUGGGAACGUGGAACGGGCGGCUGGUACGCAGAGGAUGCUGGAAAAUUGCAUGGACGUCGGUCUUGAUGCAUCGCGGGAGAAGAGGAAUGGAACUUGGACGCUGGAAUGGAACGGCCGAAAGCAGCUGCUGGGAGG